rnacentral:rRNA from 1 species
GACGAACGCUGGCGGCGUGCUUUACACAUGCAAGUCGAACGGUGAAGGUGGAGCUUGCUCCGCCGGAUCAGUGGCAAACGGGUGAGUAACACGUGGGCAACCUGCCCCUAACUUUGGGAUAACUACUCGAAAGAGUAGCUAAUACCGGAUAUGAAGUCUGUAGGCAUCUAUGGAUUUGGAAAGUUUUUCGGUUAGGGAUGGGCCCGCGGCCUAUCAGCUUGUUGGUGAGGUAGUGGCGCACCAAGGCGACGACGGGUAGCCGGCCUGAGAGGGCGACCGGCCACACUGGGACUGAGACACGGCCCAGACUCCUACGGGAGGCAGCAGUGGGGAAUAUUGCGCAAUGGGCGAAAGCCUGACGCAGCAACGCCGCGUGCGGGAUGAAGGCCUUCGGGUUGUAAACCGCUUUCAGCAGGGAAGAAGCGAAAGUGACGGUACCUGCAGAAGAAGCACCAGCUAACUACGUGCCAGCCGCCGCGGUAA